AUCUAAGUACCCCGAGGAAAAGAAAUCAACCGAGAUUCCCCCAGUAGCGGCGAGCGAACGGGGAGGAGCCCAGAGCCUGAAUCAGCAUGUGUGUUAGUGGAAGCGUCUGGAAAGGCGCGCGAUACAGGGUGACAGCCCCGUACACAAAAGCGCAUGUGCUGUGAGCUCGAUGAGUAGGGCGGGACACGUGGUAUCCUGUCUGAAUAUGGGGGGACCAUCCUCCAAGGCUAAAUACUCCUGACUGACCGAUAGUGAACCAGUACCGUGAGGGAAAGGCGAAAAGAACCCCGGCGAGGGGAGUGAAAAAGAACCUGAAACCGUGUACGUACAAGCAGUGGGAGCACAGGUUUACCUGUGUGACUGCGUACCUUUUGUAUAAUGGGUCAGCGACUUAUAUUCUGUAGCAAGGUUAACCGUAUAGGGGAGCCGGAGGGAAACCGAGUCUUAACCGGGCGUUAAGUUGCAGGGUAUAGACCCGAAACCCGGUGAUCUAGCCAUGGGCAGGUUGAAGGUUGGGUAACACUAACUGGAGGACCGAACCGACUAAUGUUGAAAAAUUAGCGGAUGACCUGUGGCUGGGGGUGAAAGGCCAAUCAAACCGGGAGAUAGCUGGUUCUCCCCGAAAGCUAUUUAGGUAGCGCCUCGUGAAUUCAUCUCCGGGGGUAGAGCACUGUUUCGGCUAGGGGGCCAUCCCGGCUUACCAACCCGAUGCAAACUGCGAAUACCGGAGAAUGUUAUCACGGGAGACACACGGCGGGUGCUAACGUCCGUCGUGAAGAGGGAAACAACCCAGACCGCCAGCUAAGGUCCCAAAGUCAUGGUUAAGUGGGAAACGAUGUGGGAAGGCCCAGACAGCCAGGAUGUUGGCUUAGAAGCAGCCAUCAUUUAAAGAAAGCGUAAUAGCUCACUGGUCGAGUCGGCCUGCGCGGAAGAUGUAACGGGGCUAAACCAUGCACCGAAGCUGCGGCAGCGAACGUAUCACCCAAGACAACUUUACGGAGUUGACGAUUGACGGAGCGAAGCGACGUCAAAGCGUUCAUUAAAGUCGAGUUGGCUUAGGGAUACGUUCGUUGGGUAGGGGAGCGUUCUGUAAGCCUGUGAAGGUGGCCUGUGAGGGUUGCUGGAGGUAUCAGAAGUGCGAAUGCUGACAUAAGUAACGAUAAAGCGGGUGAAAAGCCCGCUCGCCGGAAGACCAAGGGUUCCUGUCCAACGUUAAUCGGGGCAGGGUGAGUCGACCCCUAAGGCGAGGCCGAAAGGCGUAGUCGAUGGGAAACGGGUUAAUAUUCCCGUACUUGGUGUUACUGCGAAGGGGGGACGGAGAAGGCUAUGUUGGCCGGGCGACGGUUGUCCCGGUUUAAGCGUGUAGGUGUGUGUUCCAGGUAAAUCCGGUUCACUUUAACACUGAGGCGUGAUGACGAGGCACUACGGUGCUGAAGCAACAAAUGCCCUGCUUCCAGGAAAAGCCUCUAAGCAUCAGGUAACAUCAAAUCGUACCCCAAACCGACACAGGUGGUCAGGUAGAGAAUACCAAGGCGCUUGAGAGAACUCGGGUGAAGGAACUAGGCAAAAUGGUGCCGUAACUUCGGGAGAAGGCACGCUGACACGUAGGUGAAGUGAUUUACUCACGGAGCUGAAGUCAGUCGAAGAUACCAGCUGGCUGCAACUGUUUAUUAAAAACACAGCACUGUGCAAACACGAAAGUGGACGUAUACGGUGUGACGCCUGCCCGGUGCCGGAAGGUUAAUUGAUGGGGUCAGCGCAAGCGAAGCUCCUGAUCGAAGCCCCGGUAAACGGCGGCCGUAACUAUAACGGUCCUAAGGUAGCGAAAUUCCUUGUCGGGUAAGUUCCGACCUGCACGAAUGGCGUAAUGAUGGCCAGGCUGUCUCCACCCGAGACUCAGUGAAAUUGAACUCGCUGUGAAGAUGCAGUGUACCCGCGGCAAGACGGAAAGACCCCGUGAACCUUUACUAUAGCUUGACACUGAACAUUGAGCCUUGAUGUGUAGGAUAGGUGGGAGGCUUUGAAGUGUGGACGCCAGUCUGCAUGGAGCCGACCUUGAAAUACCACCCUUUAAUGUUUGAUGUUCUAACGUGGACCCGUGAUCCGGGUUGCGGACAGUGUCUGGUGGGUAGUUUGACUGGGGCGGUCUCCUCCUAAAGAGUAACGGAGGAGCACGAAGGUUGGCUAAUCCUGGUCGGACAUCAGGAGGUUAGUGCAAUGGCAUAAGCCAGCUUGACUGCGAGCGUGACGGCGCGAGCAGGUGCGAAAGCAGGUCAUAGUGAUCCGGUGGUUCUGAAUGGAAGGGCCAUCGCUCAACGGAUAAAAGGUACUCCGGGGAUAACAGGCUGAUACCGCCCAAGAGUUCAUAUCGACGGCGGUGUUUGGCACCUCGAUGUCGGCUCAUCACAUCCUGGGGCUGAAGUAGGUCCCAAGGGUAUGGCUGUUCGCCAUUUAAAGUGGUACGCGAGCUGGGUUUAGAACGUCGUGAGACAGUUCGGUCCCUAUCUGCCGUGGGCGCUGGAGAACUGAGGGGGGCUGCUCCUAGUACGAGAGGACCGGAGUGGACGCAUCACUGGUGUUCGGGUUGUCAUGCCAAUGGCACU
rnacentral:rRNA from 1 species